UACGGAGGGUGCAAGCGUUGUUCGGAAUCACUGGGCGUAAAGGGCGUGUAGGUGGCUAAGUAAGUCAGGUGUGAAAUCCUUCCGCUUAACGGGAGAAGUGCACUUGAAACUGCUUAGCUAGAGUACGGGAGAGGAAGGUGGAAUUCCUGGUGUAGAGGUGAAAUUCAUAGAUAUCGGGAAGAACACCGGUGGCGAAGGCGGCCUUCUGGCCCGAUACUGACGCUGAAACACGAAAGCUAGGGGAGCGAACGGG
rnacentral:rRNA from 1 species